CCAGUCCUAAAGCUGGUCUUCCUGGGUACCCUGCAAGUGCCUCCGUCUACAGAAGCUCCCUCAGUGAAGUACGAGACGGUGUCUUGAUGGUUAGCCCCCAGACUGAAAACAGCGUAAAGAGAAGGUCACAGAGCUAGAAGUGGAGGAGCUGGGAUUUAAACCUGAGUCCUGCUUCAGCAUCAGAGACGAGGAGUCAGUUAAAGAAUAAACAGACAGACAGGAUAUGACGACUUUAAACGCUGGGCUGGAAGAAGCACAAGCUGGAUUCAAGACUGCCGAGAAAUAUCAAUAACCUCAGAUAUGCAGAUGAUACCACCCUUAUGGCAGAAAGUGAAG